rnacentral:tRNA from 1 species
GUCCAGAGAUGGGAAUCGAACCCACAGUGUUCUGCUUACCUGGCAGAUGCCAUGUCCACUAGGUUACCCUGGA